UUGAAAAAAAAUCGAGUGGACUUUAAACAGCACAGAUAAAAAAUGGGUGACUACAAGACCAAGCUUGUGAUCGCUGCUAUAGAUUUUGGAACAACAUACUCGGGUUAUGCUUAUUCUUUUAACCAUACUUUAAAGAGAGAUCCGUUAAAGGUAUACGCAAACAUCUGGACAGACGAAAAUGGCAAAUUGCAAACUACAAAAGCGCCUACGACUGUCCUCUUUGAUAAGACGGAAUGUUCCAUUCGUUCGGAUACGAGGCUGAAAAGACAUACGCCGAUUUAGCUGAUGACGACGAACACCACGGCUGGAGGUACUUUAAACAUUUCAAAAUGAACCUGCAUGGGAACACUCGACUGAAACGUACAAUGCAAAUAAAAGACGACCAUGGGAAACAGAAUGUUGGCUAUAGACGUUUUUGCGGCAGCAAUCAAGUUUCUAAAGGAUCAACUCUUUGAACAGUCAAAGUUAAAAGUACCAAACA
rnacentral:misc_RNA from 1 species